GACGAACGCUGGCGGCGUGCUUCAUACAUGCAAGUCGAACGAGGUCCAUCUGGUGGCAACACCAGUGAAGACCGAGUGGCGAACGGGGUGCGUAACACGUGAGAAACCUGCCCCGGACUCCGGGAUAACAGUGGGAAACCGCUGCUAAUACCGGAUACCUUCACCGGAUCACCUGAUCUGGUCAAGAAAGGUCCGCCGGUCUGGGAUGGUCUCGCGGCCUAUCAGCUUGUU
rnacentral:rRNA from 1 species